UAUUUCACUUCCCCCCAUCCCUAAUUCACGUCUCUCUCUCAGUUUCAAAUCCCCCAAAAUUCCUUCAACAACAUCCUUUCCCUAAUUCUCUCAAUCCGAGCAGGAGAUUGAAUUUUCAUUGCUAACAGGAUUUGUUGCAGAGAAACACAUUCGGGUUUUCGGAGGAUAGAAUUUUCCAGCAGAAAAUUCCAGGUUGGAAUUAAGUAUUAAGGUUCUAUGAUGCGCUGCUUGAUUGAUUUGCUUAUUAUGUUAUAACAAUAGUGAGGCCAAUGAAAUAACAAAAUUCACUCAAUGAAAGGUUCACACACCACACCAGGUAUUCUGUCUCUUGUAAUUUAUCCUCUAGCAAAUUUAAACUUGUUGCAUAAGAUCAAUGUAUUGAAUCUACUCGUAAGAUCAUUUUACAUUUGCAUGUUAGUUCAUAUGGAUACAUGUGAUAAUGAAUGAUAGUAUUAAUGAAUUACUGUUGCCUGAUAUGAUUACCAGUGACCAAAAUCACUUGAUGCCUUUAUGUGAAUUUAUUCGUGCUUAAAGUGUAAUUCUUCUUCUCGACUAGUUGACUCUUUGGAACUUAUUAGUUUGACAGAAACUUACCCUUCUAGAGAGUUUUGGUUUGUUCCACUUCGCGAGUAUUGCUCUGAUUAUUGUUAUUUAGCCAAUUAAUUGUGCAGACAUAGUCACAUGUUGCAAGCUCUGUUUUUUUCUUCACUAGUUAGGAAUGCCGUAGAGAUGCAAGUUUUUAACCAAGUCAGCAAUAAAAGUGCAAUGUCCUUGCUACUGGGUUGAGGGGUAGUUUAUGUAAGUAGAAUCCGAUAUUGUCUUUCUCUCAGUUGUUCAUUUUGAAAUAUUUAAUAAGAUUCCAUUUUUUCUUAUUUUGCAUCAGAGCAUACAAAUUAAGCUUUGCAAAUUAAGUUUGAAGAACACUGUGUUCCUUCUUUGGGGUCUAAAAAUAUGAGUGUUGUGGAUCAAUGGCUUCAUAUGUUAAAGUAUAUAUCUAAAAUUGUUAUUACUGUAAUUCUGAAAUUUUUUCCAUUUAUUGAAGUGCAUAUUAUUUCUAUCAGUGUGAGUACUUCGCUCUCGAGUCUCAACUUGUUUGUGAUUGGUUACUUCACAAGUUCGGCUAGUCUCAGAUUUUCUUGUGUUUAUUAUGUUUGUCCGACCGAUUUGCAGGUCCAAACCACAAGCCAAUCUUUGCUAAUGCGGGCAUUUAAUCAGGCUAUCAGAUCGACAAGGAACUCGAUCAUUUGAAGAACGCGUUUGAGGUAAUACUAUCUUCCUAGUGCUUUUAGCUGUAGAAUUAGUGAUACAUCCCUUGUCAAAUAUUUCUCAUGUUUUUUAAGUAUGAAUGUUUGAAUUCUGUUUGAAAAUAGACAAGGAAAAGGGUGAUGGUAAAUUCGUUCAUAAUUUGAGCUUUGAGCAGGUAAAGCCUUAGUUCUUUUCUAGACUUUAUAUUAUCAAUUUUGCUAGCUUAGUGGAGUAUUUAUCUUGAACACAGUAUCAAAUUUUGUUUUGAUAUGUUAAAUAAUAUAUUGCAUCUCUAUUGCAUUAACAAGAACAGAUGAAGUUAUUGUGGACAUGAAGAUGUGAUGCUUGUCAAAAGGAGCUCAAAGGAAAAUAAAAAAUGCUAGAUGAAUGUUAGAUCUAGAAUUUUAUAUUUGUAUACAUUGAUUUUCAUUUUACAUUGUAUAUAUUGAUUAUUUUAAAAUUAUUAUGCAAAUUUUUUAUGUAACAGUCCUUUUAUAUUUGAGGCA